rnacentral:lncRNA from 1 species
CCAUUUCGAAAAUCUCCAAUUUUCACAUAUUCCAUAGUCCACAUAUAUGAUAUCACGUAUUCUCAAAUUCACAAAUUGCCCAAUUUUCAUAUAUACUAACAGCAAGCUUACAACUCACAAGCCAUAGACAGGCUCAUAGUAAAUUCUCACAAAACAUAAACUCCUAAAUUUAUAAUUCAUAAAUUCAUAAUCAUAAAUCAUAACUGAUUAAUUUAACUGAUAACUCAUAAUUUCAUAAUAAUAAAUCGGUAAACAAACUAGGACAACAAAAACCCAAAAAAUAAAAAAAAUGGAAGAAAGGUUGCAGCUCACUGCUCACUUCACACCAUCACAAGUGAAAUCAAUUAUUGGCGAUGCAGCCCCCAGGGCAUAUCUCCCAGUGGUAAAGGGGAGGACGGAUAGGGCUCAGCGCGGCAGUGUGCAGAGUUCGAUUCCCCGCAAGGUGGAAUUGGCUUUGUUGCAAGCGGGAGUUACCAUAUGGAUUAACAGCCUUGGCCUAUCCAUGUGCUCUCCACCCUGGCUCCUGGGAGGCACAUCCUGCGAUUUACCUCCUCCACGAUGGCCCAGGGCAGGGUCGAUGGGGGCCCCUAAGGUUGGGAUUCAACCUUUUUUAAUUAUUGGCGAUGCAGUGAUGGUGUAGUGCUCCAGUGGCCAGUGGCUCAGGGUGAGUGCCAGCAGCGGAGAAUAGGGUUUGGAAUUCGAAGGCAUUGUUUGAUUUUGGGUUUGAAGUGUCGAG